UACGUAGGGGGCAAGCGUUGUCCGGAAUCAUUGGGCGUAAAGCGCGCGUAGGCGGCCCGAUAAGUCCGCUGUAAAAGUCCAGGGCUCAACCCUGGGAUGCGGGUGGAUACUGCCGGGCUCGAGUCCGGAAGAGGCGAGUGGAAUUCCCGGUGUAGCGGUGAAAUGCGCAGAUAUCGGGAGGAACACCAAUGGCGAAGGCAGCUCGCUGGGACGUGACUGACGCUGAGACGCGAAAGCGUGGGGAGCAAACAGG
rnacentral:rRNA from 1 species